rnacentral:rRNA from 1 species
AGUGAACGCUGGCGGUAGGCCUAACACAUGCAAGUCGAACGGCAGCACAGUAAGAGCUUGCUCUUACGGGUGGCGAGUGGCGGACGGGUGAGGAAUACAUCGGAAUCUACUUUUUCGUGGGGGAUAACGUAGGGAAACUUACGCUAAUACCGCAUACGACCUACGGGUGAAAGCAGGGGAUCUUCGGACCUUGCGCGAUUGAAUGAGCCGAUGUCGGAUUAGCUAGUUGGCGGGGUAAAGGCCCACCACGGCGACGAUCCGUAGCUGGUCUGAGAGGAUGAUCAGCCACACUGGAACUGAGACACGGUCCAGACUCCUACGGGAGGCAGCAGUGGGGAAUAUUGGACAAGGGGCGAAAGCCUGAUCCAGCCAUACCGCGUGGGUGAAGAAGGCCUUCGGGUUGUAAAGCCCUUUUGUUGGGAAAGAAAAGCAGCAGGUUAAUACCCCGCUGUUCUGACGGUACCCAAAGAAUAAGCACCGGCUAACUUCGUG